AUCGAACGCUGGCGGCAGGCCUAACACAUGCAAGUCGAACGAGUGGCGGACGGGUGAGUAAUGCUUUGGAACCUGGCUUACGGAGGGGGAUAACUACGGGAACCUGUGGCAAAUACCGCGUACCAUAGGAUGAGCUCACGCGGGAUUAGGUAGUUGGUGAGGUAAAGGCUCACCGAGCCGACGAUCCCUAGCUGGCCUGAGAGGAUGACCAGCCACACUGGGACUGAGACACGGCCCAGACUCCUACGGGAGGCAGCAGUGGGGAAUAUUGCGCAAUGGGCGCAAGCCUGACGCAGCCAUGCCGCGUGAAUGAAGAAGGCCUUCGGGUUGUAAAGUACUUUCGGUAGCGAGGCGUUAACUACAGAAGAAGCACCGGCUAACUCCGUGCCAGCAGCCGCGGUAAUAC
rnacentral:rRNA from 1 species